rnacentral:rRNA from 1 species
GAUGAACGCUGGCGGCGUGCCUAAUACAUGCAAGUCGAACGCGAGAGGAGGGAGCUUGCUCCCUCUGAUCGAGUGGCGGACGGGUGAGUAACACGUAGGCAACCUGCCCAUCAGCCGGGGAUAACUGCGGGAAACCGUGGCUAAUACCGGAUAAUCCUCUCCACCGCGGGGUGGGGAGUUGAAAGACGGUUUCGGCUGUCGCUGAUGGAUGGGCCUGCGGCGCACUAGCUGGUUGGCGGGGUAACGGCCCACCAAGGCAACGAUGCGUAGCCGAACGCAGAGGGCGAUCGGCCACACGGGGACUGAGACACGGCCCAGAGUCCAACGGGAGGCAGCAGUAGGGAAUCUUCCGCUAUGGACGCAAGUCUGACGGAGCAACGCCGUGUGAGUGAAGAAGGGUUUCGGCUCGUAAAACUCGGUUGUUAAGGAAGAACGCCAGGUAGAGUAACUGCUACCUGUGUGACGGUACUUAACCAGAAAGCCACGGCUAACUACGUGCCAGCCGCCGCGGUAA